GUGAAUCAUCAAAUUUUUGAACGCAAAUUGCACUCUCCUCUGAGAGUAUGCCUGUUUGAGGGUCAGCCUAUAAAAAAUCGACAUCGUUUCUGUUUCCCGGUGGCGUUCGUCGGGAAUUGGGUCAUCUUCAAUCCCUUUUGGUUUAAGCGACUUAAAAUUUUCUUUUUGUUUUUUUGAACGUUUCUAAGUUUUAUUUCUUUACUCUUUUAAGGGUAUCGCUUUUUAUUAUACUUGAC
rnacentral:misc_RNA from 1 species